UAGCUAACACGUGUCUGUUGGCGAGUGUUAGCAUGACGCCAUUAUCGUGCUUCAGUGUUUGUCUCAGUUCUGGUUUAAUGUGUUAUUUAAAUCAUUGCACUGACUGCUCACUCAUGAAAAUGAGCAAAACUUUAAUCUUCAUAAGUCUGAAAUAAAACCUGACUCCAGAGAAGUGAUUCAACAAACGGACGUUGUUUAAACACACAGAACAUUUAUAAUAAUAUAGAUGAGGCGAUUUACAUCACAUGAGAUUUGAAUAGUGGGACUAAAUAUAAAACAUUCAUUAUAUAUUUCUUAAUCACUGAUAAUGACACUCAAGAUAACAGUAUAUGUUUCUUACUUGACGUCUAAAGGAAGUGAAAAUGUUCUGAUGUUCAGCGUGCGACAGAUUCACAAUGAUGACCAGACUCUUUGGAUUCUUUAGGUCACUUUCUGCCACAACAGUCUGGUCGGAUCCACUCGACAAAGAGACUUUAAAGCUGUCAGAUACAGAACCUGCUCUGAUAACAAACAUACUUGGGUUUGGAGUCAGAACCGUGUUUCAGUUUGGAGACUUCAGUGAAGUUCUGAUGUUGGUGGUCAGAACCGGAACUGCUUUUUCACAUCAACUUCUAAAAUAUAAUGUGGAAAUAAACUGCAAUUCACCAUCAUUCCACAUGGUGGAGCUGCAACUGACAGCAAAAACAAAUAUCUAGUUAAAUAUGUUGAUCAACAGUUUUGUUUACAGACAGCUGUUGAGGCUCUUUGUGUUGAGAAUAUGUGAGUGAAUAAAAGAAUAAAGCUCCAGGUCCAGGUGCAGGUCCAGAUGGAGGAGGUGUCUGAGUGUGGAGCAGAAGGAGUGGAGGAGUGUCAGUGUGUCUGCAGAGACUGUGUAGAAGGACAGAGCAGCAGCAGAGCAGUCCAGAUACACUGAUGAUACUCUGUCAC